AUUGGUUGGCUAAGGAAAGAAAUUAAAGAUUGCCCAUAGGAAAGAAAUUUGAUGUUCUGUGAUUUCAACGCCAGCUUGUUUGAAGGCAUUUGAUCACCAUCCUCUCUAUCCAGUAGAGCAUCACAAAGAACUUCCAGGAGUGAGACAAGUGGAAAACAGGAAGGGAAAAGUGGUGACUUGGAGGCUGGAUACCCAGUGCUUCUUCUGAAAUGACUUAUUCACCAAGUGGCACUGAUUAUAAAGGCAUGAAGACAUCAUGGACAGCCACCGAGUCUUGUCACCAUGUGACAGGGAUGGAUUUCCUGAAGACAUGCUAGAAGAAGCUACUGGUAUAGGUAGAACCCAGUUGCUACAAGGUACCCCAGUAUCUGGGGCAUGUAAGUACCAUAGGAUAACCAGCAAGAUCAACAGCAGCCAUGGGUGGAGAUAGCCAUAACCUAGAACACUAACUGUAUAUUUGCUGCAGAGUGCAAAGCUAGA